UACGAAGGAUCCAAGCGUUAUCCGGAUUUAUUGGGUUUAAAGGGUGCGUAGGCGGGCUAUUAAGUCAGUGGUGAAAGCCCCAGCUUAACUUGGGAACUGCCAUUGAUACUGAUGGUCUUGAGUACACUUGAGGUGGGCGGAAUGUGUCAUGUAGCGGUGAAAUGCUUAGAUAUGACACAGAACACCGAUUGCGAAGGCAUGCUCACUAAAUUAUAAACUUGCGCUGGAAGGCACGAAAGCGUGGGGAUCAAACAGG
rnacentral:rRNA from 1 species